CGGUGUUCAACUGGCGUGUCCGCGGGACGUCCUGCCGGUGGGCUUAGCCCGCAAGGGCGGCCCAACUUCAAAUCCCAUCGCGGUGCUCUUCACUGAGUGUCGAGGUGGGCCGGCACGUUUACUUUGAACAAAUUAGAGUGCUUAAAGCAGGCUAAAACUUCGCCUGAAUACUGUGUGCAUGGAAUAAUGGAAUAGGACCUCGGUUCUAUUUUGUUGGUUUUCGGAACCCCGAGGUAAUGAUUAAUAGGAACGGAUGGGGGCAUUCGUAUUGCGACGUUAGAGGUGAAAUUCUUGGAUCGUCGCAAGACGGACAGAGGCGAAAGCAUUUGCCAAAAACGCUUUCAUUGAUCAAGAACGAAAGUUAGAGGUUCGAAGGCGAUCAGAUACCGCCCUAGUUCUAACCAUAAACGAUGCCAGCUAGCGAUCCGUCGACGUUCCUCCGAUGACUCGACGGGCAGCUUCCGGGAAACCAAAGCUUUUGGGUUCCGGGGGAAGUAUGGUUGCAAAGCUGAAACUUAAAGGAAUUGACGGAAGGGCACCACCAGGAGUGGAGCCUGCGGCUUAAUUUGACUCAACACGGGAAACCUCACCAGGCCCGGACACCGGAAGGAUUGACAGAUUGAGAGCUCUUUCUUGAUUCGGUGGGUGGUGGUGCAUGGCCGUUCUUAGUUGGUGGAGCGAUUUGUCUGGUUAAUUCCGAUAACGAACGAGACUCUAGCCUGCUAACUAGGCGUAUUUUCGACAUCUCAAAGGUCCGUCGUCCCGGCCCUCGGGUCGUGGGCGUGCGCGAUUUUUACUGUCGGCGUACUAUCAAUUCUUCUUAGAGGGACAGGUGGCUUCUAGCCGCACGAGAUUGAGCAAUAACAGGUCUGUGAUG
rnacentral:rRNA from 1 species